rnacentral:rRNA from 1 species
GAUGAACGCUGGCGGCGUGCCUAACACAUGCAAGUCGAACGAAGCACCUUACCGGAUUCUUCGGAUGAAAGUUUGGUGACUGAGUGGCGGACGGGUGAGUAACGCGUGGGUAACCUGCCCUGUACAGGGGGAUAACAGCUGGAAACGGCUGCUAAUACCGCAUAAGCGCACGAGGAGACAUCUCCUAGUGUGAAAAACUCCGGUGGUACAGGAUGGGCCCGCGUCUGAUUAGCUGGUUGGCAGGGUAACGGCCUACCAAGGCAACGAUCAGUAGCCGGUCUGAGAGGAUGAACGGCCACAUUGGAACUGAGACACGGUCCAAACUCCUACGGGAGGCAGCAGUGGGGAAUAUUGCACAAUGGGGGAAACCCUGAUGCAGCAACGCCGCGUGAGUGAAGAAGUAUUUCGGUAUGUAAAGCUCUAUCAGCAGGGAAGAUAAUGACGGUACCUGACUAAGAAGCUCCGGCUAAAUACGUGCCAGCAGCCGCGGUAAUACGUAUGGAGCAAGCGUUAUCCGGAUUUACUGGGUGUAAAGGGUGCGUAGGUGGCAGUGCAAGUCAGAUGUGAAAGGCCGGGGCUCAACCCCGGAGCUGCAUUUGAAACUGCUCGGCUAGAGUACAGGAGAGGCAGGCGGAAUUCCUAGUGUAGCGGUGAAAUGCGUAGAUAUUAGGAGGAACACCAGUGGCGAAGGCGGCCUGCUGGACUGUUACUGACACUGAGGCACGAAAGCGUGGGGAGCAAACAG